ensembl:lncRNA
AGCUGAGUUAUGUUUAUAUGGAACAUAAAAGGCUCUUUACUGCAAUCAGUUAGCAUUUUGUUUCCAACAAACAUGCACAUUUAGCUUGAAAAUAUUUAAUGGAUUUAUCCAUUAAACUCAAUAACACAUUUUCACCCUUAACUGCAAUGGUGCAGGUGAAGACAAGCAUGUUGUUUAUUUGCUGAACGUUGUUUAUCUCAGGAUGGUGCACGAGGAUACAGGAACAGGCAAGAUGUUAAAGCACAUAAUAAAAACAAAAUAAACGAUCCAUACAUUAGAAAGAUGUCAGAAGUUAUCCACAGACAUCGUAAGCUGAGGGAAAGAAUGACCCUAUUGCCAUUGAGAAAUUUCAUUGUUCGCUUCAUUUUCUUUAAAAUGACCGGCAGGAAUAACGGGUGUAGUUUUUCAUUCCGCUGCUUUGCCGAGAUGAGUUUGAGCCAUUAGCUUAAGGUCUCUGGACUUUUAGCUUGUGGCAAUACUGAUGGAAAGCAUGAGUUUCCCCAACUGUCUUAACAACCACAGCAACAUCUCUCCAUGUAGAUAUUAAAGAUACAGGCAGUGGAAGCAAUACUAAUCCACGAUGGGAUUAAGAUCUGCGCACCUGGGAAACAGUUGCCAUGUUCAAUCAUUCGGGUGAAAUCACUGCUGGCCUUUGGACUAGCCAUUACAGUUUUGUUCCCAGUUGUUUCUUUCUUAUAAUUAACGUGUAGUAUUGAGUACAAGAAUUUUUUAUUAAAAAAAAAAAGCCACCCUUCCAUAUGGAUUGCAAUUAUCUUUGAAAUAUUUUAAUAUGAAGAAAACAGCAUAAAAUAAAAAGCAGUUUCAUUUUUAAUGUUCCAGUUUAAUUAAGAAAGUGUUCAAGUAAUUUAAAAAUGUAGGCAUUAAAAUACCAAUUAAGCUUAAGGCAAGUUUUCCUAUUAAUUUUGAUGACACCAAUACAGGGGUGUCAUGUAGAGGUGACCCUUCAGAAACAGGUUAUUUCCAGUGCUACAUUUGGCUGUACUGAUGCUGAGAGAAAAUUAAUUAAUGGGGAAACUUCACCUGUUUGGCCAAUCCCAGAAGGCUGAGCCUUGAGAACGAUGAUGCCAUCCUUACAACAAAAAACUGCCAACGUAACCUCCUUUCAAGGCUUUAAUUACCAUUUCAUGUCUCAGCUUUCCACUUUGGCUGACCAUCCUGGUGAAAACUGAACAUAUUCUAAUGGUUCUAAUUGUGCAGUAUGAACACAACUGAAACGUGCUGUUGGAAGUAAAGGUUAUUCUGAUGUGCGGUAAUUAUUUUAUAAUCGUGUUUAUUGUUCUAAGUCUGUAUUAGUGACUAAAUGGUAAAUGUAGCAUUUUAAUGCAUUAAAAUUUAAUUAUUGCCUGAAACUCUAGUGCCAGGAGUACUGCAAGUUUCCAUGGGUGCCAGCAACAUUCACAAAGCAAGACGUGUGUAUCUGAUCUGAUUAAAAUUUUGUGCCCAUUAACAACAAAAAAAAACCUCAGGAAAGAUUACUUUCCAGGAAUGACCACUUCCAGUAGCCUUGCAGACCCAGAGAUGCUAAUUCUUAAUGCCAGCCCGGGCAAGAUGGAUUUAGGUUAAAUUUAUCUCAUUUCAUUUCAGAUCUUAAAUUGGUUAAUGAGGCUGAAAUAUGCUUUAUUUCAGAGAAGCCACAGUGCUCUGCGCAAGGAACAGAAUUUAUGCCGACGUUCGAGUCAAGUGCAAAUACCACCACCGCUCCUUCAUUACCGCCUUAACUGGUGAGAUCUGUUCUGCUCGGCAGAACUCGCACCAAAUGUCAGGUUCCUAAAUGAAGGAGCUCCUGUCUCUCUGCAAGAAACCAGCUGAUUGGCUAAAACUGAGGAGGGCAGGAGGAUGGUUAUCGCACAGUGGAAAGCUCAUCUGUUUCUUUUUCAGCUUAAACCACAAACCAGGGAAGUCAGUUAGGAUUCCUGUGUUUACUUCGGACCCUUUCCUUGGGGCUACUUUUUAGUGGGCCAGUUUCUUCCAGAGCUUUAAAGGGAUUUUGCUCAUUCUCACGCUCCAAUCAGCAAAAAAUAAGUCAUUAACGUUGGGACUGAAAAUAUCUCCGGUGGCUGUUUCAGCCACCAGACAAAAGCAAUGGAGAAAUGUGGAUGCUCUACAAACUCAGGUGGCUCCCAGCUAAACCAGGGACUGCAGUCACAUCACCACGAGGGCUGAGAGGAGCUCUGUGCAUGGUCCCCCUGCCCCUGGAGCAUGGGUUGAUAUCAAGCUUUUAUAAAGAGCAAAGUCCUGCCAUGAAUUUCUGAAUGUUUUCCAUGGAUCUUUGACCAAAAUAAAAAUUGUGUGCUAUGUAUGAAGGGGUGCAGAAAGACAAGAAAACACAAAUUCUGCUCUAAUGUGCAGAACAUGGACUGGUUUGAAGGAAAGAAACAAAAUAUGGGAUCCAGCCUGAGGCUGAAGACAG